rnacentral:rRNA from 1 species
AACGAACGCUGGCGGCGUGCCUAACACAUGCAAGUCGUACGAGAAACACGUCCUUCGGGAUGUGGAGUAAAGUGGCGCACGGGUGAGUAACACGUGGGUAACCUGCCUCGGGGACCGGGAUAACUCCGCGAAAGCGGGGCUAAUACCGGAUAAGACCACAUGAGCUUCGGCUCAAGGGGUCAAAGUCGGCCUCUCGAAGAAGCCGGCGCCUGGAGAUGGGCUCGCGGACCAUUAGCUUGUUGGUAGGGUAACGGCCUACCAAGGCCAAGAUGGUGGGCUGGGAUGAGAGGAUGAUCAGCCACACUGGAACUGCGACACGGUCCAGACGCCGACGGGAGGCAGCAGUGAGGAAUAUUGCGCAAUGGGAGAAACCCUGACGCAGCAACGCCGCGUGGGUGAAGAAGGCUUUCGGGUUGUAAAGCCCUGUCAGGUGGGAAGAAACCUCCGCAAGUGAAUAGUUUGCGGAACUGACGGUACCACCAAAGGAAGCACCGGCUAACUCCGUGCCAGCCGCCGCGGUAA